rnacentral:tRNA from 1 species
GCCGAAGUGGCGGAACUGGCAGACGCGCACGACUCAAACUCGUGUGAGCUUCGCUCGUGAGGGUUCGAUUCCCUCCUUCGGCA